rnacentral:rRNA from 1 species
AUUGAACGCUGGCGGCAGGCUUAACACAUGCAAGUCGAGCGGGGGAAGGUAGCUUGCUACCGGACCUAGCGGCGGACGGGUGAGUAAUGCUUAGGAAUCUGCCUAUUAGUGGGGGACAACAUCUCGAAAGGGAUGCUAAUACCGCAUACGUCCUACGGGAGAAAGCAGGGGAGCUUCGGACCUUGCGCUAAUAGAUGAGCUUAAGUCGGAUUAGCUAGUUGGUGGGGUAAAGGCCUACCAAGGCGACGAUCUGUAGCGGGUCUGAGAGGAUGAUCCGCCACGCUGGGGCUGAGACACGGCCCAGACUCCGACGGGAGGCAGCAGUGGGGAAUAUUGGACAAUGGGGGGAACCCUGCUCCAGCCAUGCCGCGUGUGUGAAGAAGGCCUUAUGGUUGUAAAGCACUUUAAGCGAGGAGGAGGCUACUCUAGUUAAUACCUAGGGAUAGUGGACGUUACUCGCAGAAUAAGCACCGGCUAACUCUGUGCCAGCCGCCGCUGUAA